rnacentral:rRNA from 1 species
GACGAACGCUGGCGGCGUGCUUAACACAUGCAGGUCGAACGGAAAGGCCCUGCUUUUGUGGGGUGCUCGAGUGGCGAACGGGUGAGUAACACGUGAGUAACCUGCCCUUGACUUUGGGAUAACUUCAGGAAACUGGGGCUAAUACCGGAUAGGAGCUCCUGCUGCAUGGUGGGGGUUGGAAAGUUUCGGCGGUUGGGGAUGGACUCGCGGCUUAUCAGCUUGUUGGUGGGGUAGUGGCUUACCAAGGCUUUGACGGGUAGCCGGCCUGAGAGGGUGACCGGCCACAUUGGGACUGAGAGACGGCCCAGAAUCCUACGGGAGGCAGCAGUGGGGAAUAUUGCACAAUGGGCGGAAGCAUGAUGCAGCAACGCCGCGUGCGGGAUGACGGCCUUCGGGUUGUAAACCGCUUUCGCAUGUGACGAAGCGUGAGUGACGGUAAUGGGUAAAGAAGCACCGGCUAACUACGUG